ACUCAUUGCAACCCAUUGGAAUUAAAAUAAAACAAUUUUAUUUUUUUUGCAAAAUUUCUCAAAAAAAUCGUAAGGGGUAAGCCUUAUGAAAUUUUCGAGUGAAAAAUUUUUUUGAAUUUUUUUUCUGAUUUUUUAUUCUUUUUUUAAUUUAAAGCAUAAUUUGAGUGAAAAGAAACUUAUUGCAACAAAUUCCCAUUAAAAUAUAUCACAUUUAAAAAUUUUGCUGAAUUGCAGAAAAAUGAGGAAAAUUUUACAUUUUCUCAAACAGGGUAAGGAACUUGGUUCCUCGAAUAACUUCUGGCACAGACAUCUGAGGGCAUGGCCGUCCAAGAAGAAAAUGUAGCCAUUGGUGCCAUCUAUCAACCACAGGUUAAAGAUUGGCGAUCCGUUGGAUACCGACCGAGUUAUAGGCAAAAGUUGGUGCAAAAAUGAAGAAAAUUUUACAUUUUCUCAAACAGGGUAAGGAACUUGGUUCCUCGAAUAACUUCUGGCACAGACAUCUGAGGGCAUGGCCGUCCAAGAAGAAAAUGUAGCCAUUGGUGCCAUCUAUCGACCACAGGUUGAAGAUUAGCGAUCCGUUGGAUACCGACCGAGUUAUAGGCAAAAGUUGGUGCAAAAAUGAGCCUUAUAAAAAUUUCAAAUUUUUAUAUUUUGUUAAUUUUUUAUAAUUUUUUAUUAUUUUUUUGUUUGGAACAUUAUUUGAGUGAAAAGAAACUUAUUGCAACCAAUUGGUAUUAAAAUAAAACAAUUUUAUUUUUUUUGCAAAAUUUCUCAAAAAAAUCGUAAGGGGUAAGCCUUAUGAAAUUUUCGAGUGAAAAUUUUUUUUGAAUUUUUUUUCUGAUUUUUUAUUCUUUUUUUAAUUUAAAGCAUUAUUUGAGUGAAAAGAAACUUAUUGCAACAAAUUCCCAUUAAAAUAUAUCACAUUUAAAAUUUUUGCUGAAUUUCAGAAAAUUGAGGUAAAUUUUACAUUUUCUCAAACAGGGUAAGGAACUUGGUUCCUCGAAUAACUUCUGGCACAGACAUCUGAGGGCAUGGCCGUCCAAGAAGAAAAUGUAGCCAUUGGUGCCAUCUAUCGACCACAAGUUAAAGAUUGGCGAUUCGUUGGAUACCGACCGAGUUAUAGGCAAAAGUUGGUGCAAAAAUGAAGAAAAUUUUACAUUUUCUCAAACAGGGUGAGGAACUUGGUUCCUCGAAUAACUUCUGGCACAGACAUCUGAGGGCAUAGCCGUCCAAGAAGAAAAUGUAGCCAUUGGUGCCAUCUAUCGACCACAGGUUGAAGAUUAGCGAUCCGUUGGAUACCGACCGAGUUAUAGGCAAAAGUUGGCGCAAAAAUGAGCCUUAUAAAAAUUUCAAAUUUUUAUAUUUUGUUAAUUUUUUAUAAUUUUUUAUUAUUUUUUUGUUUGAAACAUUAUUUGAGUGAAAAGAAACUUAUUGCAACCAAUUGGCAUUAAAAUAAAACAAUUUUAUUUUUUUUGCAAAAUUUCUCAAAAAAAUCGUAAGGGGUAAGCCUUAUGAAAUUUUCGAGUGAAAUUUUUUUUUGAAAUUUUUUUCUGAUUUUGUAUUAUUUUUUUAAUUUAAAGCAUUAUUUGAGUGAAAAGAAACUUAUUGCAACAAAUUCCCAUUAAAAUAUAUCACAUUUAAAAAUUUUGCUGAAUUGCAGAAAAAUGAGGAAAAUUUUACAUUUUCUCAAACAGGGUAAGGAACUUGGUUCCUCGAAUAACUUCUGGCACAGACAUCUGAGGGCAUGGCCGUCCAAGAAGAAAAUGUAGCCAUUGGUGCCAUCUAUCGACCACAGGUGAAAGAUUGGCGAUCCGUUGGAUACCGACCGAGUUAUAGGCAAAAUUUGGUGCAAAAAUGAGCAAAAUUUUCAUUUUUUUUUUGAAUUUUCUGAUUUUUUUAUUAUUUUUCACUCUUUUUUUUAUUUCAAGCACUAUUUGAGUGAAAAGAAACUCAUUGCAACCCAUUGGAAUUAAAAUAAAACAAUUUAAUUUUUUUUGCAAAAUUUCUCAAAAAAAUGGCAAGGGGUACCCCUUAUGAAAUUUUCGAGUGGAAAAUUUUUUUGAAAUUUUUUUCUGAUUUUUUAUUCUUUUUUUAAUUUAAAGCACUAUUUAAGUGAAAAGAAACUUAUUGCAACAAAUUCCCAUCAAAAUAUAUCACAUUUAAAAUUUUUGCUGAAUUGCAGAAAAUUGAGGUAAAUUUUACAUUUUCUCAAACAGGGUAAGGAACUUGGUUCCUCGAAUAACUUCUGGCACAGACAUCUGAGGGCAUGGCCGUCCAAGAAGAAAAUGUAGCCAUUGGUGUCAUCUAUCGACCACAGGUUAAAGAUUGGCGAUCCGUUGGAUACCGACCGAGUUAUAGGCAAAAUUUGGCGCAAAAAUGAGGAAAAUUUUACAUUUUCUCAAACAGGGUAAGGAACUUGGUUCCUCGAAUAACUUCUGGCACAGACAUCUGAGGGCAUGGCCGUCCAAGAAGAAAAUGUAGCCAUUGGUGCCAUCUAUCGAUCACAGGUGAAAGAUUGGCGAUCCGUUGGAUACCGACCGAGUUAUAGGCAAAAUUUGGUGCAAAAAUGAGCAAAAUUUUCAUUUUUUUUUUAAUUUUCUGAUUUUUUUAUUAUUUUUCACUCUUUUUUUUAUUUCAAGCACUAUUUGAGUGAAAAGAAACUCAUUGCAACCCAUUGGAAUUAAUAUAAAACAAUUUAAUUUUUUUUGCAAAAUUUCUCAAAAAAAUGGCAAGGGGUACCCCUUAUGAAAUUUUCGAGUGGAAAAUUUUUUUGAAAUUUUUUUCUGAUUUUUUAUUCUUUUUUUAAUUUAAAGCACUAUUUAAGUGAAAAGAAACUUAUUGCAACAAAUUCCCAUCAAAAUAUAUCACAUUUAAAAUUUUUGCUGAAUUGCAGAAAAUUGAGGUAAAUUUUACAUUUUCUCAAACAGGGUAAGGAACUUGGUUCCUCGAAUAACUUCUGGCACAGACAUCUGAGGGCAUGGCCGUCCAAGAAGAAAAUGUAGCCAUUGGUGUCAUCUAUCGACCACAGGUUAAAGAUUGGCGAUCCGUUGGAUACCGACCGAGUUAUAGGCAAAAUUUGGCGCAAAAAUGAGGAAAAUUUUACAUUUUCUCAAACAGGGUAAGGAACUUGGUUCCUCGAAUAACUUCUGGCACAGACAUCUGAGGGCAUGGCCGUCCAAGAAGAAAAUGUAGCCAUUGGUGCCAUCUAUCGACCACAGGUGAAAGAUUGGCGAUCCGUUGGAUACCGACCGAGUUAUAGGCAAAAUUUGGUGCAAAAAUGAGCAAAAUUUUCAUUUUUUUUUUUAAUUUUCUGAUUUUUUUAUUAUUUUUCACUCUUUUUUUUAUUUCAAGCACUAUUUGAGUGAAAAGAAACUCAUUGCAACCCAUUGGAAUUAAAAUAAAACAAUUUAAUUUUUUUUGCAAAAUUUCUCAAAAAAAUGGCAAGGGGUACCCCUUAUGAAAUUUUCGAGUGGAAAAUUUUUUUGAAAUUUUUUUCUGAUUUUUUAUUCUUUUUUUAAUUUAAAGCACUAUUUAAGUGAAAAGAAACUUAUUGCAACAAAUUCCCAUCAAAAUAUAUCACAUUUAAAAUUUUUGCUGAAUUGCAGAAAAUUGAGGUAAAUUUUACAUUUUCUCAAACAGGGUAAGGAACUUGGUUCCUCGAAUAACUUCUGGCACAGACAUCUGAGGGCAUGGCUGUCCAAGAAGAAAAUGUAGCCAUUGGUGCCAUCUAUCGACCACAGGUUAAAGAUUGGCGAUCCGUUGGAUACCGACCGAGUUAUAGGCAAAAUUUGGCGCAAAAAUGAGGAAAAUUUUACAUUUUCUCAAACAGGGUAAGGAACUUGGUUCCUCGAAUAACUUCUGGCACAGACAUCUGAGGGCAUGGCCGUCCAAGAAGAAAAUGUAGCCAUUGGUGCCAUCUAUCGACCACAGGUGAAAGAUUGGCGAUCCGUUGGAUACUGACCGAGUUAUAGGCAAAAUUUGGUGCAAAAAUGAGCAAAAUUUUCAUUUUUUUUUUGAAUUUUCUGAUUUUUUUAUUAUUUUUCACUCUUUUUUUUAUUUCAAGCACUAUUUGAGUGAAAAGAAACUCAUUGCAACCCAUUGGAAUUAAAAUAAAACAAUUUAAUUUUUUUUGCAAAAUUUCUCAAAAAAAUGGCAAGGGGUACCCCUUAUGAAAUUUUCGAGUGGAAAAUUUUUUUGAAUUUUUUUUCUGAUUUUUUAUUCUUUUUUUAAUUUAAAGCACUAUUUAAGUGAAAAGAAACUUAUUGCAACAAAUUCCCAUCAAAAUAUAUCACAUUUAAAAUUUUUGCUGAAUUGCAGAAAAUUGAGGUAAAUUUUACAUUUUCUCAAACAGGGUAAGGAACUUGGUUCCUCGAAUAACUUCUGGCACAGACAUCUGAGGGCAUGGCCGUCCAAGAAGAAAAUGUAGCCAUUGGUGUCAUCUAUCGACCACAGGUUAAAGAUUGGCGAUCCGUUGGAUACCGACCGAGUUAUAGGCAAAAUUUGGCGCAAAAAUGAGGAAAAUUUUACAUUUUCUCAAACAGGGUAAGGAACUUGGUUCCUCGAAUAACUUCUGGCACAGACAUCUGAGGGCAUGGCCGUCCAAGAAGAAAAUGUAGCCAUUGGUGCCAUCUAUCGACCACAGGUGAAAGAUUGGCGAUCCGUUGGAUACCGACCGAGUUAUAGGCAAAAUUUGGUGCAAAAAUGAGCAAAAUUUUCAUUUUUUUUUUUAAUUUUCUGAUUUUUUUAUUAUUUUUCACUCUUUUUUUUAUUUCAAGCACUAUUUGAGUGAAAAGAAACUCAUUGCAACCCAUUGGAAUUAAAAUAAAACAAUUUAAUUUUUUUUGCAAAAUUUCUCAAAAAAAUGGCAAGGGGUACCCCUUAUGAAAUUUUCGAGUGGAAAAUUUUUUUGAAAUUUUUUUCUGAUUUUUUAUUCUUUUUUUAAUUUAAAGCACUAUUUAAGUGAAAAGAAACUUAUUGCAACAAAUUCCCAUCAAAAUAUAUCACAUUUAAAAUUUUUGCUGAAUUGCAGAAAAUUGAGGUAAAUUUUACAUUUUCUCAAACAGGGUAAGGAACUUGGUUCCUCGAAUAACUUCUGGCACAGACAUCUGAGGGCAUGGCCGUCCAAGAAGAAAAUGUAGCCAUUGGUGUCAUCUAUCGACCACAGGUUAAAGAUUGGCGAUCCGUUGGAUACCGACCGAGUUAUAGGCAAAAUUUGGCGCAAAAAUGAGGAAAAUUUUACAUUUUCUCAAACAGGGUAAGGAACUUGGUUCCUCGAAUAACUUCUGGCACAGACAUCUGAGGGCAUGGCCGUCCAAGAAGAAAAUGUAGCCAUUGGUGCCAUCUAUCGACCACAGGUGAAAGAUUGGCGAUCCGUUGGAUACCGACCGAGUUAUAGGCAAAAUUUGGUGCAAAAAUGAGCAAAAUUUUCAUUUUUUUGUUGAAUUUUCUGAUUUUUUUAUUAUUUUUCACUCUUUUUUUUAUUUCAAGCACUAUUUGAGUGAAAAGAAACUCAUUGCAACCCAUUGGAAUUAAAAUAAAACAAUUUAAUUUUUUUUGCAAAAUUUCUCAAAAAAAUGGCAAGGGGUACCCCUUAUGAAAUUUUCGAGUGGAAAAUUUUUUUGAAAUUUUUUUCUGAUUUUUUAUUCUUUUUUUAAUUUAAAGCACUAUUUAAGUGAAAAGAAACUUAUUGCAACAAAUUCCCAUCAAAAUAUAUCACAUUUAAAAUUUUUGCUGAAUUGCAGAAAAUUGAGGUAAAUUUUACAUUUUCUCAAACAGGGUAAGGAACUUGGUUCCUCGAAUAACUUCUGGCACAGACAUCUGAGGGCAUGGCCGUCCAAGAAGAAAAUGUAGCCAUUGGUGUCAUCUAUCGACCACAGGUUAAAGAUUGGCGAUCCGUUGGAUACCGACCGAGUUAUAGGCAAAAUUUGGCGCAAAAAUGAGGAAAAUUUUACAUUUUCUCAAACAGGGUAAGGAACUUGGUUCCUCGAAUAACUUCUGGCACAGACAUCUGAGGGCAUGGCCGUCCAAGAAGAAAAUGUAGCCAUUGGUGCCAUCUAUCGACCACAGGUGAAAGAUUGGCGAUCCGUUGGAUACCGACCGAGUUAUAGGCAAAAUUUGGUGCAAAAAUGAGCAAAAUUUUCAUUUUUUUUUUUAAUUUUCUGAUUUUUUUAUUAUUUUUCACUCUUUUUUUUAUUUCAAGCACUAUUUGAGUGAAAAGAAACUCAUUGCAACCCAUUGGAAUUAAAAUAAAACAAUUUAAUUUUUUUUGCAAAAUUUCUCAAAAAAAUGGCAAGGGGUACCCCUUAUGAAAUUUUCGAGUGGAAAAUUUUUUUGAAUUUUUUUUCUGAUUUUUUAUUCUUUUUUUAAUUUAAAGCACUAUUUAAGUGAAAAGAAACUUAUUGCAACAAAUUCCCAUCAAAAUAUAUCACAUUUAAAAUUUUUGCUGAAUUGCAGAAAAUUGAGGUAAAUUUUACAUUUUCUCAAACAGGGUAAGGAACUUGGUUCCUCGAAUAACUUCUGGCACAGACAUCUGAGGGCAUGGCCGUCCAAGAAGAAAAUGUAGCCAUUGGUGCCAUCUAUCGACCACAGGUGGAAGAUUGGCGAUCCGUUGGAUACCGACCGAGUUAUAGGCAAAAUUUGGUGCAAAAAUGAGCAAAAUUUUCAUUUUUUUUUUUAAUUUUCAGAUUUUUUUAUUAUUUUUCACUCUUUUUUUUUAUUUCAAGCACUAUUUGAGUGAAAAGAAACUCAUUGCAACCCAUUGGAAUUAAAAUAAAACAAUUUAAUUUUUUUUGCAAAAUUUCUCAAAAAAAUGGCAA